rnacentral:antisense_RNA from 1 species
CGGGGGCCCAGAGUGGAGAGCGCGAGGGCCUGGCCCAGGCACGGCCGGCGCCUCAGCCCUCGAGGAGGGCGUCACCUCAGCUCCCCCCGGCGGCGGAGCCGGUGGGCUCAGGCGGGCGCGGCUGAGGGGAGCGGACCGCGUGGGGCGGGAUGACUGCGCCCAAGGCCUUUGCGGGCCUCAGCCGGCCCCAGAGGAAGGGGGACCCGUCGAGCGGUUCGGUGCGUGUGAAGCGCGACAUGGCGGGGAAGCGGACAAGGCCGGGUGGCCUGGCGUCUACAGGGAAGGGGGCGGGACUAGACGCGGCCUUGACAACUAGUAGAGCGCCUCGGGCUGUGCGGCUCGAGACUACAUUUCCCAGGGGGCCCCGCGCGGAGCGGGCGGAAAAGAGAGCGUUUCGGGUCCAGUGCGCAGGUGCGAAAGCCAUCUUUGGUUAUAUAAGGGAGGUUCAGGAGGCCAUUCGUUCUUUCGCGUCCGCGGCGCUGUGAGUGUGGUGGUUCCGCAGGUUGCAGUCAGGCUUCGUACGCUAUUGUCCUUCCCGUUAGAGCAGCCAGCGGGUACAGAAUGGAUUUUGGAGGAGGGAGUCACCACUGGACCUCCAAGGAAGCCACGUGCAGACAUCUACAACCUUCGAUCUCUUGACGAGUUUAUUGUUGGCUAAAACCAACCAGGAUGAAUGCGGGCGUUGGAAGUAGAAUAUAUACAUAUACAUAUAAAAUUGGUUGGGAGCCACGUGUACCAGUGUGUUGAUCUUGGCUUGAUUCAGUCUGCCUAGUAACAGAAACUGGCGAUGGUAUAUGAGAGGAGCCCUCUGGAAAGAAAAGGACAGACCCUGUGCUUUCAUGAAAGUGAAGAUCUGGCUGAACCAGUUCCACAAGGUUACUGUAUACAUAGCCUGAGUUUAAAAGGCUGUGCCCAUUUGAAGAAUGUCAUUGUUAGACUUUGGUGAAAUUUCUAACUGCCUACCUGGAUAAAGAAAAUAAAAUCUUUUAAAUCAAAA